UAUCAAACCCUAACAAAUCAAAAUACACGCACACCAGAUCCAUGUUCUCUCACUCUUUUGAUCGACCGGUGACCGGAGUUGGGGUGCCGGCCGGUGCCGACUCUGACGAAACCCCACACACAUCUCCUUUCUAAACUCUCACUCUUCGAUGAGAGUUUUCCGGCGACGAACCUGAAUCCGACGACGAACCAGCCGUUUGUUCUCCGUCAACAACCAACCACACACAACCUCAGCCCCUCCUUUUUCUUUGUAUAUCCCCCUCGUUACAGAAGUCCGGCAGCAAUCGCAGCGCCGCCGCCGCUACGGCGGCGGUGGAGGAGGUGGUCCGAUGAUGAUGAUGACGAUGUAACAGCUGUGGAUGAUGUCAAUGGUGGAGGUUUUUAAUGACAGAUUUGGUCCGAGGUUCUCUCCGGUUAGUGGCUUCAACCCUCCUCCAUUUCCCUUCGUUUCAGAUCUGUAAAGAUCGACGUCUUUCUAGCAGUGUCGGAAGAUGAUGAUGUUAAGGGUGAAAGAGGAACCAGCAGCGGCACUCGCCGGCGACGACGACGAUGGAGGUGGUCGUAUCUAAUUUCUCUGGUUACUUUCUCAAAUUAUGGCACGGGUGGAAUAGGAGAACCAUUGGAGAUUCGAGUACUUAGUGGGCGUUCGUUUUCUAGAAGUUUUAGCUUCAUUGCACAGCGAAAGCAAAUAGAGCUCACAUCGUCACUUCGCUUGUUUAUUCUGCAACUCUCGAUAAUCGCUCGACGUUCAUUCGAAAAAUGCUCAGAUCGAAAGAUGCUCGCUCUACUUUGGCUCGGUUGAAAAAACGCUUGGUUCUGUGAUAACCGUCAAAAAUCCAGGAGUAUGGGGCAUGGACUAACUCUUACCGAUAUUCUUGGGGAAUAUGCUCUCAAUAUUUCGCACGUGCAUGGCUUUGUGGACGUUAUGGAGAUCGUGGGGAGGUUGCACAAUUAGCGGAUAGUUAGUUAUUUUGGUUAUUUCUAAUUUUAAAAAGGGGAUAACAAGCUUGAGUUAGAACACUUGGCUAAUUUUAGCAAACACACACUCUCGGCAGUUUACUUAGCAAUUUCAUACACUUUUGCACACUAGUGAUCCUUGUAACAAGCUUGUUAUCAUCCCGAGUUGUAAUAUCUUUCUGUUUAAUCUUAGUUGGUGAUCGGUAGUUUCCAUCACCCGAGGUUUUUUAUGC
rnacentral:lncRNA from 1 species